AAGGAGAAAAUUAUGGACAAAUUGAGAGAGCAACACUCCUUGUCCUUGCCUCCCAAAGGUGCCGAAGGGACGGGCAGAGUGACGAUCCGAGAGUGGAUUCACCACCAACAGGCCUAGCCCAUAUGGGUCAUGAGACAUGACGUCAUUCCCGCCUUCCUCCUGUUUAUCACUGGUAGUCCAUUGUGAGCGCGGCAUGCAUUUUUUAUUUGUUUCGUAACUAACACAUAUUUGGUCUUGUUACCAUCUCCUUUCAGUCAAGCUACUUCGUUAGCUUGUACUGUAUUCCUAAGAAUCAUUUUUUUCUUCUCCUUGUUGGCUGUGUGUUGAUCGUUAAUUAUUUUCUUCGGUAUGGUGUGCGUGAGUCCUACAUCCUCUUAUCCAUCUUCCAAUACCAAAGCCAAACUUCAUAAUUCAGACACACCCAUUGGCAACCAAAUGUAACCUUCAUUGAUAACCUUCAAGCUCAAGUUACCGUAUUCUCAUAAACCAAGGAUGAGAAAGCGUUUUUAUUUUUCUUUGUGCAUGACUUUAGAGAAUUUCAAUGACUUUAGAGAAAGCGUUUUUGUUAGCUUCAUGAUCGUGUUAGAAAUUGGAUAUUUAGGGAAUGAUUGAGAACAAAAGGUAAGGAAGAACAAAAAGAAUUUUUCAGAGAAUUUCAAUGACUGCAAAACAUGGCAGCGGCACUAAGAUUUCAUUCAUUGUAAUUUUUUCAGGAACAUUCUUCCUACUUAUCUGCAGGUAUUGCAGAUGGUACACGUCCUUCAAAUGGACAGCUGGAUAUAUGAAUCACAGCCGAUACAUCUGUUGUUUGAAAACUAGAAUCCUAUGCUUCAUUCCUUCACAAACUAGCCGUUACAGCUUUUUAAGUUCCUUUUGGUCCUGCCUUGGAACCUUCAAGUCUGCAAUAUAGCUUACAUUUCAACAGAUUGGGGUGGUUCUAGUUCAUCUGGAUCUGCAAGGGAUUGUAUCCUGCUAGCUGCUUGUGAAGCAUACGAGACUCUUCCGCUGAGUGCUGAAUUUCCUGCUGAUGUGUUUACUUCUUGUCUCAGAACUCUUCCACAGAGUUCUGUUUCAAUUUUGUGAUUCUUGUUCUUUGUGGUGAAUAAUGUUAUUGAUAGCUUCUGCAUUGCUUCGUUUGCUAGAAGCUUGUCACUGCAUUUUCUUCAAUUCAAGGUCAUAAACGUGGGGUGCGAAGUUUGAAUGCUGUUGUGGAUUGGCAACAACAAUCUGGAUAUCUGGUACUUCCUCUCUUUAUGAUGUAAAGAUUACAUUUUCUGCAGUCUGCUCCUCAAGUUCACUAGGGUCAACUUGCAGCCGGUUUUGUCGACGGUUCUGUCCGACUUUAUGAUGUGCGAACUCCUGAAAUGUAAGCUCAUCAUAUCUUCUUCUGGCAAGACCAAAAAUAUGGGUUAUGAUAUUUUUGAAAGUGUUGCAACUUUUAGAAAAGAUAAGUUACAAAUAGUUACGUUUGCUUACCUAGAUGCACAAUUUCUUUAUAUGUUUACAAAUGAUAAGCUCUUCAUUUCUACUUCUGUCACUAUACGUUUGUCCCACUAUAAGUAAACAUUAAACAUGAUAAUAUGCUAUGUAGCUGGUUGUAGCUCUUCAUUUCUAGCCUUCCAUCCGUACGAAACGCUGCUUGUAGCUGGUGCUGCAGAUGCUUUUGCAUCCAUUUAUGCUGAUGACAACUCUCAAGCUAGAUGAAAAUUCUAAUUCUACCCUUAUGGUUUGAUGAGGGCUUCUUUUAUAUUGGAAGGCAGUGCAAGUGGACAGAUUGCAAUUGCAAUCUUGCUGUUGCUGAUCACUUGGUGCAUCUGGACCGUCAUGAUAUAAAAUUCCACUGCCCCAAUUCUUCUUCGACGUCAAUAGGUGUAUCUGGAAGCAUUGGUAGGUGACGAUUUAGUGGUGUUGAUAGUGAGGUUGUACACUGGGUGUCAUGACAUAAUCUCAUUAAGGAACGCAUAUCAUGGCAGCGCUGAUGGCACCAUGGGGGCUACUGCCUAGGCCAAUUGGGAUUUUAUCAGUACCACGACUUCUGGUGAUGGUUGCUUAAGUAGUUAUUGGUGAUCGUGAGCUGAAGACACCUGCAGAGACCGAAACUGUACAUGCAAUGGACAAGAUGAAAGGGACUCGCGAUUGGCAAAGGUCUUCUAUAGAAAUGUUUUCAGAAUCACACCUCCGCUGUGCUUCACUAAUGAAGAUGCAGAUUUUCUUACUGAUACAAUGGACUACACAGAUGUCGAAAAUUUGAAGGCUCAAAUUUAAUUGUAGAUAUAGAGUGUCUAAUUAUCAUUCACCAAUCGGUCCAAGUAACAAUGACCUGUUAUCUUUUGGAAACAUAUCAAUAAGUUUAGGUUUAUGCUUCAAUAAUUCGCUAUGAUCCUGUAACACGAAGAGUCAACAACUCGUCGUCCCUCGCUCACCACGUAUCCUGGCUCUUGCUUGGUUUCUGUCUUAUGACCUUAUGAAUAUUUGAGGGGUGUCUCUCUCCAUUUGAAUAUAAUGCAUACGUUAAAAUUUUAGUUUAUGUACAAUUUCCUGAGCAUUGCCAUGAUUAUGUUCAGUUGCGCUUCUGCACAACAAUGGCAUGCACUUCAUUUACACUUCGGCCUCUCUGGCUUCCUCCACUCUUAGGCCCAAUGACAUCUCCAAAGAGCGCCUUCGUGUCCGAAGAUUUCACGCCGAUUGCUCCAUAAGUAAGGAUGGGUAAAUACCCAUUGGUUAUGGGUAACCGCUGUUAUCUGCUCAUUUAAAUUU